GAUCUCUCUUUUGAUCUGAUUGAGGUUAAAAAAAAUAUAACUAAGAUGAUGGGUUAACUAGGUCUACUGUCAAUUUAAAAAUAACAAAAGUGCAGGCAGAAAAGUACAUUUAUAUUAACCAUGUUUUGUGUAUCAUUUCAAGUCACUAAUCAAUCAUCAGCUUGUGUUUGACUUUAAAAUGUAAACAUAAUUGCUAAAUGGAUCUGCAGUUUGGUGCAUCAAUUUGUAGAACCAACCUCAUAUGACAGACUCAAGCAGUCAAUACAAAUUGCUGCCCCACAUAUCUAUUUCAAAAAGUACAACAGAACAAUAACCAUGACUUUUCCAUUCUUCAUAUUACCU
rnacentral:misc_RNA from 1 species